GGCACGCCGGGAUUGGGAAUCUGCGGCUGCGCAGACCUUGCAAAGUGACAGGGCGGGGGGGAGGGCGGGUUCGGCUGAUGGAGAAACUGAGGCAAGGGGUAGAACCCGUCUGCGCCCCAACCCUGUGAGCAAGGCGAAGUCCCAGGGUGGUGUCCUUGCCUACAAAAUCCAUCAUGGCACAUCACUGUGUCUACGUUUUGGCAUGCCCUUCCUUUUAACACACAACCUGGAAGGAGAGAGAGAGACAGCAUGAGCAGGGGAGGAGCAGAGAGAGAGG